rnacentral:rRNA from 1 species
UACAGAGGUCCCAAGCGUUGUUCGGAUUUACUGGGCGUAAAGGGUGCGUAGGUGGUCGGGUAAGUCUCAUGUGAAAUCCCGCAGCUUAACUGCGGAACGGCAUGGGAUACUAUUCGGCUCGAGGAUUGGAGGGGGGACUGGAAUUCCCGGUGUAGCAGUGAAAUGCGUAGAUAUUCGGAGGAACACCAGUGGCGAAGGCGGCAUCCUGGACUGGUCCUGACACUCAGGAGCGAAAGCGUGGGGAGCGAUCCGG